UACGUAGGGUGCAAGCGUUGUCCGGAAUUAUUGGGCGUAAAGAGCUUGUAGGCGGUUUGUCGCGUCUGCCGUGAAAAUUCGAGGCUCAACCUCGAACUUGCGGUGGGUACGGGCAGACUAGAGUGUGGUAGGGGAGACUGGAAUUCCUGGUGUAGCGGUGAAAUGCGCAGAUAUCAGGAAGAACACCCGUGGCGAAGGCGGCUCUCUGGAACGCAACUGACGCUGAGACGCGAAAGCGUGGGGAGCAAACAGG
rnacentral:rRNA from 1 species